UACGUAGGGUCCGAGCGUUGUCCGGAAUUACUGGGCGUAAAGAGCUCGUAGGUGGUUUGUCGCGUUGUUCGUGAAAACUCACAGCUUAACUGUGGGCGUGCGGGCGAUACGGGCAGACUUGAGUACUGCAGGGGAGACUGGAAUUCCUGGUGUAGCGGUGGAAUGCGCAGAUAUCGGGAGGAACACCGGUGGCGAAGGCGGCGAUCUGGGUCGAUACUGACGCUGAGGUGCGAAAGCGUGGGGAGCAAACAGG
rnacentral:rRNA from 1 species